UUCCCAUUUCAACCUAGACGAUCUACAUUUUCAAACAUGUAAAACUGCUUUUGCUUACGACACAAUCCGUCUCAUUUUAUCUCUACCCCGCUACAAAUGGAUGCUUUCACAGGUUGUCAAAUAUUACCAUGUUCUCAUAAAGUUCAUUAAGAAUGCGCCAAUGAAAUGAUUCGAAGAGUAAUAACACGCUGUCCCAUUUGUCGUGAAAGUUUUGCUCAUAAACUUGAAAAGAAAACUCCAUCGAAGAGACGUCACGGUGGAAGACAUAAAUGACAAGCAGCCAUUAGAUAGAUUUACAUUUUGUCCUUCGAUCUGUAUUUCUAUAUUGGCUGCUUUUAAUUUGAUUAUAGAAAACGAUGAUUUGUGUUUUUAUGAUUUUGUUAAAUUCCUCUGGAGAUGUGUACAUUGAACAAAUUGAUAUAUUUUGUUCCACGUUUAAGAUUGUGUGAUAUUUUUCUUUUAGAAUCACAUCAGGUACACGUGCCAAAAUUUAUAUAAAGUUCAAUUUUAUCUUAAUCUAUUAUGUAACUUGUAAAAGCUCCAGUUUUUCAAAUUAGUGAAAUAGUUAGUCAAUGCACACCUUUUUAAUUUGUGCGUAAAAGAUAA